GAUGAACGCUGGCGGCGUGCCUAAUACAUGCAAGUCGAGCGAACAGACGAGGAGCUUGCUCCUCUGACGUUAGCGGCGGACGGGUGAGUAACACGUGGAUAACCUACCUAUAAGACUGGGAUAACUUCGGGAAACCGGAUCUAAUACCGGAUAAUAUAUUGAACCGCAUGGUUCAAUAGUGAAAGACGGUUUUGCUGUCACUUAUAGAUGGAUCCGCGCCGCAUUAGCUAGUUGGUAAGGUAACGGCUUACCAAGGCGACGAUGCGUAGCCGACCUGAGAGGGUGAUCAGCCACACUGGAACUGAGACACGGUCCAGACUCCUACGGGAGGCAGCAGUAGGGAAUCUUCCGCAAUGGGCGAAAGCUUGACGGAGCAACGCCGCGUGAGUGAUGAAGGUCUUCGGAUCGUAAAACUCUGUUAUUAGGGAAGAACAAAUGUGUAAGUAACUAUGCACGUCUUGACGGUACCUAAUCAGAAAGCCACGGCUAACUACGUG
rnacentral:rRNA from 1 species